rnacentral:lncRNA from 1 species
GGGAGCCGAGGGGCUAGGAGAGGGGCCUGGGCAAAGCGAGGCGAGGCAAGGCGGUGGGAGGUUGCGGGGCGGGACCCCAGGCUAGUCCGGCUGGGAGAGCGCAAGCCUAGAAAGGAAGAAACCAUGACGCGGGGGAAAACUGAAAACUAUGGGUGGAAUGGCUUUCCAGGGUCCCUCCAGCCUUGAGCGUUGAGCUUGGAAGGUAGUGAGUCCCGUUUCUGGGAAGACUGCCGCUCAGAGAGCUAGAUGGCCCGGACCCACGCAGCUCUGAGUCAGGGCAGAAAUGUGGGAAAGCUCCGCCGCGGCGAGGUGUCAUUGGGAGCAGUUUGUCUCGUAGCCUUGUGACCCAGCUUGUCUUGUUCCAAAUGUUGUGAGGACUACCUGAGACUGUGCCUGCCAACAUCUGGACCCGGAAGGACAAGAGGAUCUGAUACCAGAGAGCGGGGACGGAGGGGAGCGGCAGUCGAGCUCCAGGCUCCGCCACCCUCCUCCACAGGUCGGUCCACUCAGGCCUCGCAGCCUCUGCGGAGGAAACGUACCCGGCCGACUUCCACUGAUGACCCGGGCCUUCCGGGAAGCAUCUGCGCCGCGCUCCGUCACUGCCCCGGCCUCCGUGGGCAGGAAGCCCCGCGUCUGUGUCACCUCCGUCUCCGGCAGCAGGGGCCCGCGUGGCCGAAGGGCCUCAGUGAGAAAGGAAACCAAGCCUGGCCUUGUGGUGCACCCUGUGAUCCCCGUGCUCUGGAGGCUGAGGCAGGAAGACCUCAGAGUUUGAAGUCAGUCCGGAAUAUAGCAAGACAAUGUCUCCAAAAAACAAAAAAAAAUAAAAGAAAAUUAAAAGAAAAGAAACCAAAUGAACAUACUGUUGGAAUCGGAUUUAUUUUGAGGCAGAGACUUGCGUUACCCAGGCUGGCCUUAAACUCUCGGAUAUCCUCCUGCUUCAGCUUCCUGAAUGCUGAGAUUACAGGUGAGCACCGUCAUGCCCAGGGGCUGUUGUCAUGAUUGAUUUGCAUUUCCUAGAAGUUUAUAUAAAUGGAAUUGAACCUAUUUUUGAUCUGGCUUCUUUUCCUAAUCACAAUUAACUUCAUUUAGUUCAUACGCACACACCCGCUGCCCAUGCUGGACAUUUAGCGCUGGUCUGUGGCCCGCUGCUCUGAAGAUUAACGUACAAAUUCUGUGUGUUCUUAUUUCUUCUGGCUCCACCUUGCAGAAUGUGAUGGCUGGGUCAUAAGGGAAGUGUGUUCAGCUUUUUGAGAAACUACCACAUUUUUCCAAAGUUGUUUUUUCACCAGUGGCC